GGCUCUAUAGUUCAAUGGAUAGAACAGCGGUCUUCUAAACCGCCAAUGUGGGUUCGACUCCCGCUGGGGCUA
rnacentral:tRNA from 1 species